ACAACUCUAGACGGGGGAUCACUCGGCUCGUGCGU
rnacentral:rRNA from 7 species